UUGAAUUCAAUACAUCUACUAAUGAUAUUAUUUUAACAUCAGAUAGUGAAAACAAAGAUUAUUUUAAAAAUAAUGAGAUCGGGCAAAAAAUUAUUGAUAUACAUACUUUAAAGAGAUAUAAUAAACAAUCAAUACAUUCUAGUACUACAGAUACACAAAGGAAAAAAGAAAAUGCAUCAGGAUGAUCGUUACUCAAUGCGAAGAGUUAUUGCAAUUGUACCUAGAAUAACCCGGCAAUAUGUUCGUAAGCUAAUUGAGACAGAACAGCGAUUAAUAAUAUGUUUAAGGGUUCGUAAUCGCGGAUCACUCGCUUGUUAACUUUUCGGGUCUCUCGGACGACUGACUGGUCGGAGCGCUUAGGCAUUUCACCCAAAAACGGGGCAAGCGUGCCUCGCAGGGAAGAUCACGACGUGCUCACGCUUGAGAGUCGUAUAGUAUCACGCGCCUAUCAUGCCGAAUAACAGUUCGGACGGACUCCGAACAGAGAUUAUUCAUUUAGACGGAGUGCAGGCUCGUACUCCUAAAAUUUCACGAUAUAAUAACGGCAAUGUGCCCUACGAGCUACAGAUCCAGAGUAAUACAACAAUCUUCAAUUUUGGGAAAUAUAAUAUGGAACGAACCAAUUUAAUCGAACCGGAGCUUGUGGAGUUUUGUGAUGUAAUGAAUACAUCAUCAA